rnacentral:rRNA from 1 species
GAUGAACGCUGGCGGCGUGCCUAAUACAUGCAAGUCGAGCGAACGGACGAGAAGCUUGCUUCUCUGAUGUUAGCGGCGGACGGGUGAGUAACACGUGGAUAACCUACCUAUAUGUCUGGGAUCACUUCGGGAAACCGGCGCUAAUACCGGAUAAUAUUUUGAACCGCAUGGUUCAAAAGUGAAAGACGGUCUUUCUGUCACUUAUAGAUGGAUCCGCGCUGCAUUAGCUAGUUGGUAAGGUAACGGCUUACCAAGGCAACGAUGCAUAGCCGACCUGAGAGGGUGAUCGGCCACACUGGAACUGAGACACGGUCCAGACUCCUACGGGAGGCAGCAGUAGGGAAUCGUCGGCAAUGGGCGAAAGCCUGACGCAGCAACGCCGCGUGAGUGAUGAAGGUCUUCGGAUCGUAAAACUCUGUUAUUAGGGAAGAACAGAUGUGUAAGUAACUGUGCACAUCUUGACGGUACCUAAUCAGAAAGCCACGGCUAACUACGUG